rnacentral:rRNA from 1 species
GACGGGGGAUGCAAGCGGUAACCGGAAUCACUGGGCGUAAAGCGUCUGUAGGUGGUGAUGCAAGUCACUGGUGCAAAACUCUGGCUCAACCGGAGGAAAGCCAGUGAAACUGCAUGACUAGAGUGUGGGAGAGGUAGAAGGAAUUCCCUGAGUAGCGGUGAAAUGCGUAGAUACAGGGAAGAACACCGGAGGCGAAAGCGUUCUACUGGAACACAACUGACAAUGAGAGACGAAAGCUAGGGGAGCGAAUGGG